ACCACUAUCCACCUGCCCAGCCCAUCCCUCUUGCCCUUUGGUCCAGAAGCAGCAGAUUCAGGGGACACUCCAAGAUGAGCUUCCAAGCCCAGCUCCUGUGUCUCCUGGCGAUAGGCUUUCAGGGCUGUGGAGGGCGGCACAUCCUGACCCAGUUCCCAGAGACCCUGGCGGUAUCUCCGGACAGCUUCAUCUCCAUCACCUGUCAAAGCAGCAUAGACAUAGGCACCUCCAUGGCCUGGUACCAGCAGAAGCCUGGUGAGGCUCCCAGGCUGCUCAUCUUUGGGGCUUAUGCCCGGGCUGCUGGAACCCCGUCCCGGUUCCAGGGAAGCGGCUCUGGCUCUGAUUUCUCCCUCACCAUCCAUGGAGUGGAGGCUGAAGACAUGGGGGUAUAUUACUGCCAGCAGCACUUCAGCUGGCCUCCCUCAGUGACAGGUCCCCAGACAAAAAUAUCCUGUCUGGGCUGUGGGUGCCAGUUGUUGAACAAAGACAUCUGCUUCCUGUAGGAGGCUGCAGCAUGAGGGAAGUGAUAUACCCAGUGUUUAUUUAGACUUUAUGCUUUCAGAGUCUGUGUCUUCUGACCUUGUGAAGCAAGGGCAGGUUGGAGAGUUAUUGUCUCACAUUUAAACCAGUUUUACAGGGGCAUCUGGUGGCUCAGUGGUUGAGUGUCUGCCUUUGGCUCGGGUGGUGAUCCUGGGGUCCUGGGAUCAAAUCCACAUCAGGCUGCCCACAAGG